rnacentral:rRNA from 1 species
AGCGAACGCUGGCGGCAGGCCUAACACAUGCAAGUCGAACGAAGUCUUCGGACUUAGUGGCGGACGGGUGAGCAACACGAGGGAACGUGCCUUUAGGUUCGGAAUAACUCAGGGAAACUUGUGCUAAUACCGAAUGUGCUCUUCUGGGGUAAGAUUUAUCACCUUUAGAGCGGCCCGCGUCUGAUUAGCUAGUUGGUGAGGUAAAGGCUCACCAAGGCUACGAUCAGUAGCUGGUCUGAGAAGAUGACCAGCCACAUUGGGACUGAGACACGGCCCAAACUCCUACGGUAGGCAGCAGUGGGGAAUCUUGCGCAAUGAGCGAAAGCCUGACGCAGCCAUGCCGCGUUGAUGAUGAAGAUCUUAGGAUUGUAAAAUCCUUUCACCGGUGAAGAUAAUGACGGUAGCCGGGUAAGAAGCCCCGGCUAACUUCGUGCCAGCAGCCGCCGUAACAC